rnacentral:lncRNA from 1 species
UGUCGGAGCAGGCGGAGGUUGUCUUUGUGGUUUUCGGCGAUGAGAAUGUGCACCAGCUCCCGUCGAUCUGCGACCCACAGCCGGUGCAGGUCAACUCGCUCCAGCGGACGAUUGUCGUCGACGUUCCCAUUGGUAUGCAGAGGGGAGCAAGAUCCGCAGCCUGUCCAUGACAGUCGCUCGAUGGCCGCACAUCCAGCUCAUCACAGGGUGAGCUGUGACCGCGCUCGCAGGGAAGGCGAGCAAUGGUACCGAGCACGCGAGAUGAGCUCUGCCGGCGAGCAGGCGUGGGCGAGCUGGCAACAGUGAGCUUCAGUGGCAUGCGCAGGCGUUCGAAGAUUCUGUACUCCUAUAAUCAUGGUCAUGGUCACACUCUUUUAACAUCUGAAAUUCAUUGCCAAUUGUUGGAUUAUCUGAGUCAAAACUAGAUUAUGGAAACUGAAAGCUAUUAAAUAUUUUGGAUUGUGAAUUCCAUGGCACUGCAAGUUCAAAUAAGAAGUUCAUGUCCUAAUAUUUGUGUAUAUCAUGUAUUAUGAACAAGUUAAAGUAUGAAUUCAGGUAAUACGUCCAUCUCAUACAGAAAGCUUGAAACUUUGUGUUGGUACUGUUCAUGAUUUAGUGAGUGCAACAAGGCCAGUUUAAAAUUUCAGGCUGAGCCGUUUAUGUGAUACUUUAGUCCACUGCUAUGAUCACACAUGCGAUCAUUUUUUGUUUUAAUGAUGAAGUUUUAUAGCGCCACAGCUUUGAAUGAUGUUACGGCUAAUGAACUUCCAUAUGUUGUAGUUGAGGUUGCAAAAGUACAAAGUGAGUGGAAAAUAUAUUCUCCUUGACCAUCCUAGCAUAUCCACUGAUGGAUCUAACUUCUACUUUAUUGUUUGUUAUGUAUCCCAAAACUACAGUAUCCUUCGGAAAGACGUCGAAGCAGGCAGAUUUAUAGUUGAUGGUAUGGCUAGCAUCCAAGGUGAGACACCAACCUCAAUGCCUAUUUCAAAUGCAAUGCUCUAAUUUUGUGUGAACUACCAGUUUCACAUUUUAUGUGGUUACUUUAGAAUGUUUUAUUCAUGACUAGCAAAUCCUUGCAGCCAGUAGUCUAGGAAAGUAGCCAAAUCGAUGUUACUACAUGUGGUUUGCCGUUUGUCUCUGUAAUAAUCUAGCUGCUAGCAUACCCACUUGGUUGUUGUCUCGACAAGAUACAUAUCUGGAAACAGACUAAGAUCUUGGAGUUUACAUCUGCUUUGGUGUUCCUCUGUUCUAAUUGCCAUGUUUGCAUUUUUAUUUGAUUUAGGUGUAUAGGUAAGGGCAAAACUGAGCCAUGAUACUCUGAUAUUUAUGUUCCAGUAGCAUUAAAAUUCAGAUUUGAAAGAAAUAGCAAUUGGAUCUAUUAAAUUGUGUGCCAGCGAAAAGAAGUGGUAACACGGAUAAAUCUUUGGGGGCAUGUGAGGAUUUUAUUUCUCACAUUGCAACACACGGGCACAUUUACCUAUAUAUAUAAUCUACUGUUAAAGGGAAUUCUACAUUCAUAAUGGUACGUUGAUGGUAGGUUCAUCCAUUAUGUACGUCGAUGGUAGGCAAGUUGUGUUCAAUUGCCAUCACUGAACAAACGUGUUCAUCCAACCUGACUACUUUGGAUCUCCGAUCAAAUUUGAGGCUCCCAGGAAGGUAACGAAUUAUGUAAGCCAAUUAAAAUCGGUAUCCAUUGAUUGCUAUGUACUCCGUGUAUAGCUUGAAUGAAACAAAAUCAUGGAUUUCCUCUUAACUUGUUUUUUUUUCAUAUCAUCGGGAUCUCAUAGAGGUUGAUGGAACAUACAAUAAUGAACUCUUGGUUUCCGAUUCGUUAGUAAGGAACUGCUGAUCCUAUUUAUUUCUACCGAGAACAACGAACAUGUAAAAUCUUGUGACCAUUCUUUAUUCUAUUUGUAAAUUGAUUUGGUUCUUUCUACAUGUGUGUACAAUGUUCUCGUUGAGGAACAAGUAGGCGAAGCACAUUCGCGGUGUGAUACUCGAAACUGCCAUUAAAUUGCAUAGUUAAUGAUUUUUAUUGAGCAUGUCAUAAUAUGUCCAAUUACUUUCAACUAAUUUUAUUCGUAUAUGGUGAUCUGUUGUAAUGUUCGGAAGAUUUUCAUAUAUAUCAUGACUACUUUGUAAUGGUUGCUUACAGUUUUUGUAGGCCACCAGUUUCUGCUAUCACUUGCAACUAUUUCUUAGGUAAUUUUCUGGACCAGUACACACCCAGAUUUUCGGGAUUAAUAACACCAGUGAGUUAAUAUGUUACUGAAACUGUUGGUACCUCAUAUGGUUUUGUGGGGGCUUAGUCUUGUUCUAAAAAAUACCAGUACCCACAUCAAACUUUUUUCAAAUGUUCUGGGGUAUAUAAUAAAUGUGUUGUGUUUUAGAACUGUAUUGCAGCCAUACUUGAAAAGCCAUUUCUACAUGUCAAUACAACCUGCAUUUCAGGCUUACUUGAAAAAGCACCACACAUACAUAUCAAUAUCAGGGCCUCAAUUUGGAAACUGGUACAUACGGUUCAAAUUCUUUGUCCAAUUCUGGUCUCUGUCUUCUAGAAAAGCACAAGGGUUCGCAAUGUAUCAAUCAGCUUACUUUCAGUGACGAUCAAGACUCCCAAAAUGCCUUUUUUCAUGGUGAAAAGAUGCUCAGGCACACAUCAUUGUUAGUUUUUCUCAUGCCAUGCUUGGUCUGUAACUAAAUUUGGAAAAUUCAUUGGAUGUUCCGCAAGUGUGCAACCAAACUUGUAUGAAUCACGUACAAAUAAAUUAUUCAUAAUGAAAAUAAAAUCAUUGUAUGUGUUUUAGAAAUUAUGUCAUACUUAUGUAAAAAGGAUGUCUUCUUCUACCAGAUAAAGAGGUGAUAAUGGUAAAAAUAAUACUUUCUUUAGGCAGUCUCCAUGUCUAGAAGGUUGGAACGUUGAGAUAUUAGAAACCAUGCAUUUGUAUAAAAGAUUAUUAUAAACUAGCGGUGGCUCAAAUGUGCUCCCCACGGAAUAUCAACUGGCGAAGGAAUGAGAAUAGCAACAUGAACUCCAGAUUUCUAUGACGUGUUUGUAUUCAAAUUAAGAAAAAGUUCAGAUAAUAAAAAUUGUUUUGUGUCUUGAUAAAAGUUUAAAGAAAUACAGAGAACAAUGUACGCACAUCACCACCACCACACACACACAUGGAUGGGUAACACAACCCUUCUAACCAUUCAACUACCGGUUGGGUUGAAU